rnacentral:rRNA from 1 species
UACGUAGGGUGCAAGCGUUGUCCGGAAUUAUUGGGCGUAAAGAGCUCGUAGGCGGUUUGUUGCGUCGGCUGUGAAAUCCCGAGGCUCAACCUCGGGUCUGCAGUCGAUACGAGCAAACUAGAGUGUUGCAGGGGAGACUGGAAUUCCUGGUGUAGCGGUGAAAUGCGCAGAUAUCAGGAGGAACACCGGUGGCGAAGGCGGCCAUCUGGCCCACAUUUGACGCUGAGGCGCGAAAGCGUGGGGAGCAAACAGG